rnacentral:rRNA from 1 species
AUUGAACGCUGGCGGCAGGCCUAACACAUGCAAGUCGAGCGAGCGGCGGACGGGUGAGUAAUGUCUGGGAAACUGCCUGAUGGAGGGGGAUACCUCCUGGAAACGGUAGUUAAUCCCACAUACCAUCAGACGUGCCCAGAGGGAAUUAGCUAGUGGGUGGGGUAACGGCUCACCUAGGCGACGAUCCCUGGCUGGUCUGAGAGGUUGACCAGCCAAACUGGAACUGAGACACGGUCCAGACUCCUACGGGAGGCAGCAGUGGGGAAUAUUGCACAAUGGGCGCAAGCCUGAUGCAGCCAUGCCGCGUGUGUGAAGAAGGCCUUCGGGUUGUAAAGCACUUUCAGCGGGGAGGCGUUACCCGCAGAAGAAGCACCGGCUAACUCCGUGCCAGCAGCCGCGGUAAUUC